rnacentral:rRNA from 1 species
CCUACGGGAGGCAGCAGUGAGGAAUAUUGGUCAAUGGGCGCGAGCCUGAACCAGCCAAGUCGCGUGAAGGAUGACUACCCUAUGGGUUGUAAACUUCUUUUAUCAAGGAGUAAAGUGAGGCACGUGUGCCUUUUUGUAUGUACUUUAUGAAUAAGCAUCGGCUAACUCCGUGCCAGCAGCCGCGGUAAUACGGAGGAUCCGAGCGUUAUCCGGAUUUAUUGGGUUUAAAGGGAGCGUAGGUGGAUUGUUAAGUCAGUUGUAAAAUUUUGGGGCUCAACCCUAACGUUCCGUUGAAUACGGCGUUCUUGAGUGAGCGAGAAGUAGGCGGAAUGCGAGGUGGAGCGGUGAAAUGCUUAAAUA